UAAACUUUAUAUAUAUUUGAUUUUGCUUUUCUCUUUGUGUGUAGAGGGAACAUGUGAUGGUGAAAAGUUAACCCUUGAGGAUUAGUACAGAUCACUUGAAAAGCCAUUAAUCAGAGUGCUUGGUGAACAUGAAGUCCAGAACAAUAGAAUUUCCUACAGGUAGGAAGGAGGAAGAGCCUUGGAGCUUGAGGUGCCACUUUUCUCUACACUAAACCCCUGGCCCUAGGAUGUUCACUGAUGUCCUUCAGUGAAAAGUAAGGGACAGCCACGCUAGAAG